rnacentral:rRNA from 1 species
CCUACGGGUGGCUGCAGUGGGGAAUAUUGCACAAUGGGCGCAAGCCUGAUGCAGCCAUGCCGCGUGUGUGAAGAAGGCCUUCGGGUUGUAAAGCACUUUCAGCGGGGAGGAAGGCGGUGAGGUUAAUAACCUCAUCGAUUGACGUUACCGGCAGAAGAAGCACCGGCUAACUCCGUGCCAGCAGCCGCGGUAAUACGGAGGGUGCAAGCGUUAAUCGGAAUUACUGGGCGUAAAGCGCACGCAGGCGGUCUGUCAAGUCGGAUGUGAAAUCCCCGGGCUCAACCUGGGAACUGCAUUCGAAACUGGCAGGCUAGAGUCUUGUAGAGGGGGGUAGAAUUCCAGGUGUAGCGGUGAAAUGCGUAGAGAUCUGGAGGAAUACCGGUGGCGAAGGCGGCCCCCUGGACAAAGACUGACGCUCAGGUGCGAAAGCGUGGGGAGCAAACAGGAUUAGAUACCCGAGUAGUC